CCUACGGGAGGCAGCAGUGGGGGAUAUUGGACAAUGGGCGAAAGCCUGAUCCAGCAACGCCGCGUGAGUGAAGAAGGAUUUCGGUAUGUAAAGCUCUAUCAGCAGGGAAGAAAAUGACAGUACCUGACCAAGAAGCACCGGCUAACUACGUGCCAGCAGCCGCGGCAAUACGUAGGGGGCAAGCGUUAUCCGGAUUUACGGGGUGUAAAGGGAGCGUAGGCGGUUAUGGAAGUCUGGAGUGAAAGCCCGGGGCCCAACCCCGGGACUGCGUUGGAAACUGUGUAACUGGAGUACAGGAGAGGCAGGCGGAAUUCCUGGUGUAGCGGUGAAAUGCGUAGAUAUCAGGAGGAACACCGGCGGCGAAGGCGGCCUGCUGGACUGAAACUGACGUUGAGGCGCGAAAGCGUGGGGAGCAAACAGGAUUAGAUACCCUUGUAGUC
rnacentral:rRNA from 1 species